GUUGGAUAGGUGCAUUUAGUUAAAACUCUGGAUCAUUGUUACAUUAGAUAUUUAUAUUAUUUUCUUCUACAUCUUGCUUGCUCUGUAACCUCAGUAAAAUCCUAAAUUUUUUUCUCAUGCAGGUUGUCUUGCUGAAUAUUUUUAGGCUCUCCAAAGCUGGAGCAGAGCCAUGAUUAGGAGGGCCACAAGAGUAUAACAUAUAUAAGUGAUGCUUCAAGUUUUCCAAGAGUCAGGAUGGAUCCACUCUUUGAGAAGAUAAAGUGGAAGCAAAAAGGUAAAGUUCUGAGUGAUAUAAUUCCAUUGGAUCAUCUUGCUUCUUUUUAUCCCUAGAAAGGCUUUCCUUCAUAUAAUAUCAGUUUCUUACAAGAUUCCACAGGUCUUUGAUGCUUCAAACAUUACAACUCUCUAGGUCUGAUCUUCUUUUUUUUUCUCUUAAAGAUGCUUUGCCACAAAACCAAAGUGAACUUACCUUCUCUUGCUUCUCUGACCAAUUCAUAGCAAAGCAGAAAAGCUGCAUUUAUAGGGUUAUCAUCAGAGACCAUGUUUUGACAGUUGCUGACAUUUGAUUGGCUGGCUCCUUGGUGAUCCAAGCCAGGAUUUUUCCAUCCCCUCUUCUGUGCUGUACUGAUGAGGAAUUAAAUUGCAAUUAGGACAAGCAUGAAUGGAAUGGAAUCAUCUGCAGCUCCAUUAGCGCAGGGGGGGAGAAGACUCAGAGGACCAAAACGGAUCAAGAAAUGGACAUGGAUGCGACUGUGGCUCAUCAUUCUCAUCGAUUCGAGGAACAGCUUUGGUGUUGGUCCCCGGGAUCAGAAGUUGUUGCUGCAUGUAACCCCAGGAAGAGACAAAAAGUGGCAUUCAAAGCCCUCUCUGGGUAUGUCAUGGACGAAUGGUCACCUUGGACUCUACGUUUGGUCCAAGAGAAUACUAUAUCGGCGUUCGACUUUGAAUUCCUUCCGACUAUUGCACCAUCAACUUUUCUGAGCACAUCCAACCUAUACUCCAUCCACUGCUCAAACCCUUUCAAAAGGAGCUGCGAUCAAGUAUGUUUUCUGGUGAUCAGUCCUUCCUUUUGUCUUCACUAAAUCUCCCUCUCCGUCAUGCUGUUGAACUGUUGGCUAAGAUUCAUGACGUAAAAUAUAUAUGUAUGUAUAUUGGUGAUGAACUCUUCUAUAACCUAUUUUUUGUGACCAAAGUUUUGAUCUUUCAUAUC